CCUACGGGUGGCAGCAGUGGGGAAUAUUGCACAAUGGGGGAAACCCUGAUGCAGCAACGCCGCGUGGGUGAAGGAGCGUUUCGGCGCGUAAAGCCCUGUCAGCGGGGAAGAAGAAAGACGGUACCCGACCAAGAAGCCCCGGCUAACUACGUGCCAGCAGCCGCGGUAAUACGUAGGGGGCGAGCGUUAUCCGGAAUUACUGGGUGUAAAGGGAGCGUAGCCGGCGAGGUAAGCCUGAAGUGGAAGCCCGCGGCCCAACCGCGGAACUGCUUUGGGAACUGUUUUGCUGGAGUAUGGGAGGGGUAAGCGGAAUUCCUGGUGUAGCGGUGAAAUGCUUAGAUAUCACGAAGAACCCCGAUUGCGAAGGCAGCCUGCCGCAGCGUUACUGCCGCUGAAGCUCGAAAGCGCGGGUAUCGAACAGGAUUAGAUACCCUUGUAGUC
rnacentral:rRNA from 1 species